UGGAGCUCUAGUAUGUGAGUAGAAAAAUCUUUUUAAAGACUGACCACCCAGCCAUGUACUGCAUCUCCCCGGAAGGUGCCGUGGUCGGUGCCCCCGACCAGAGGGGGCGUGCAUGUAGCCUGCGUGUUCCCAUCACAGCAGCAGGGGCUGAAUUCAGGGAAUCCAAGGAACACUCAGUUUUAUAAGUUCUGCCACCCCAAGUCGUGGUUCGAGUAGUGGCCGUGGUUUCGAUCCCGGUGCCGAGUGCCGUCCAGAGCUGGGAUGUGAGGCGUCAAGAUGCUCUCAGUGACCGGGAUGCAGAUGCCUGCGGAUGGCCAGAGAACAAGUAACACAAGCAAGCAAGGAUUGGACACAGACCAGGACUCUAGCCCCUGCCUCAAAGUGCCGCCCGACCGGGAGAGCAAUCUUGGGGAAAGAAUCCGCUCUUCAUUUACACAUGUGGCACAGGAGUGCUCAAAAAUUAGAAUGGAUUGACUCCAGGAUUAUCAGAAGGUCAGCCUCUAUGGAAAAAGCGGAUGGACGCAGAGCAAAGUCAAAUUGUGCCCUGUGGAUCUAGGAGGGAGUGGCCUGAAUCAGGAACAAAACCAGGUGACCUGAACUGAUAAUGAAAUUACUAUGCUUUCUUG